rnacentral:sRNA from 1 species
CGCGCUCAGUGCGGCUGCGCCGGCCGGUAGCUGCAGCUGGAGCAGUGGCGUUUGGAGGAGACUCGGAUAUACCUUCUCAGAAGCUGCACAGGAGGAAAGCAGUGACAAAGAAAGAAGUUGUCAUUCUUUGCACGGAAGCUGCUUCCAAGCUUAAAAACUAAGAAGCCUCGAGAACUUGUGCUAGUGAUUGGAACAGGCAUUAGUGCUGCAGUUGCGCCCCAAGUUCCAGCCCUCAAAUCCUGGAAGGGGUUAAUUCAGGCCUUACUGGAUGCUGCCAUUGAUUUUGAUCUUUUAGAAGAUGAGGAGAGCAAAAAGUUUCAGAAAUGUCUCCAUGAAGACAAGAACCUGGUCCAUGUUGCCCAUGACCUUAUCCAGAAACUCUCUCCUCGUACCAGUAAUGUUCGAUCCACAUUUUUCAAGGACUGUUUAUAUGAAGUAUUUGAUGACUUGGAGUCAAAGAUGGAAGAUUCUGGAAAACAGCUACUUCAGUCAGUUCUCCACCUGAUGGAAAAUGGAGCCCUCGUAUUAACUACAAAUUUUGAUAAUCUCUUGGAACUGUAUGCAGCAGAUCAGGGGAAACAGCUUGAAUCCCUUGACCUUACUGAUGAGAAAAAGGUCCUAGAGUGGGCUCAGGAGAAGCGUAAGCUGAGCGUGUUGCAUAUUCACGGAGUCUACACCAACCCUAGUG